AUGCGCGGAAUCGAAAAAAAGACUAUCUUUCUUUCGGGGUCAUAGAUCAGAGAAUUCCCUCUUUCAAGCUUCCUUACAGGCAGAAGAGUUAGCAAAGGUACAGACAGCCCGAUCUAGCCAGUGAGCAAGCAUGUCCGCUUUCGAUUCAAUAUCUUUCUUAACACCCGGAAAAUUAUAUGCCUCUAUAGUAGCCUGCAAUGGAAUGCAGCUAUUUCUGACGGAUAGCUAUGUUAGCUAGGCCACCUGCCUGAUCAGGGUUUCCAUCCGAACUAGUGC
rnacentral:lncRNA from 1 species